CGUCCGGGCCAAUUUUUCCGGAACGCAACCCGUUCGGACCGGUUUCGAAGACCCGUUUGGGCGGAAAAACACUGUUUUUUUAUUACGGCCCGCUCGGACCAGAAGUUUCGUUGUUUCAGCUUGACUGAACGUUUGUUUAGCGAGCCUUUUAUAUUGUAGUGUUUUAUCCGCGUUGUCUCAUCGUAUAUAAGACCUUGACGC